AGCAGCCUGUGUGUCUAAAUGGACCGUGAAGUGGCAACAGGCUCGCUGGUAGAUGUGCGUGGAUGAGUCGGACACGAGGACCUGGAUGGAGAUGCAGCGUUCCCGCUGUGUGACACGUAUCCAGCACCGCCGUGACAUCAUCUAUAGUGUGUAAAUGUAAAGCAGGGACAUUGCGUGCCCGGUCUGGAGGAGGAGGAUUGAGGGAUUACAGUUCAUUGGAUUCUGAAGUGAAGGUCUGCUGAUUCAACAAGAAGUCUUUCUCUUCUCCGCGCUACAUAAUGAAGCUCGAGACCACAUGCCAGUGAGAAUCUGAGAGACGCUUGUUUCCUGCAGGGAUCUAAUCAGAAGGCGGCGUCGGGUUCUUCAUCGCUCUACCUCUGCUCAGUGCAUCAACAGAUGUGCAGGAAGUUCACGCCAGUUUCCAGCCAGCUUCCUGCCGAAACCAGCGAAGAAGAGUGGAGAUUUGUACGGUGGAGGCAAUUAUACGAAGAGACCGCUGACUGAAGUCACACCUUAAGAAGACGCCUGGCCUGUGUACUUCAGUGAGAACCGUCAUUGGUGAUGCAGCGAUAAUUAGAAAUGAGGCAUGUUAAUCAGCAGAAUUAAUUGAGUUUUACCUUUUAUAGUGUGGAGCACUGCUUGAUUCUUCUCCACAACG